CCUACGGGAGGCAGCAGUGGGGAAUAUUGCACAAUGGGCGAAAGCCUGAUGCAGCGACGCCGCGUGAAGGAUGAAGUACUUCGGUUUGUAAACUUCUAUCAGCAGGGAAGAAAAUUAAGGUACCUGACUAAUAAGCCAUGGACAACACCGUGACAGCAGGCGCGGUCAUACGGCGGGGGCAAGCUUUCAACGGAUUUACUGGGGUUAAAGGGAGCGUAGGCGGUUUAGCAAGUCAGAAGUGAAAGCCCUGGGCUCAACGCCGGGACUGCUUUUGAUACUGUCGAACUUGAGUGCAGUAGAGGUAAGUGGAAUUCCUAGUGUAGCGGUGAAAUGCGUAGAUAUCAGGAGGAACACCAGUGGCGAAGGCGGCUUACUGGACUGUAACUGACGCUGAGGCUCGAAAGCGUGGGGAGCAAACAGGAUUAGAUACCCCUGUAGUC
rnacentral:rRNA from 1 species